UUGCGGCUGGAUCCCCUCCUUUAGAGACUAAAGACAGCUAAUUGCCUGUCAGGCGUCCGCACAAGUGACCUGCAUUCAGAGAUUCCGGCCUAGCGCCGGGAUUCGACCCGCGCUGUUCAAAACAGAACAUCGGGGCCAUAGCUCAGCUGGGAGAGCACCUGCUUUGCAAGCAGGGGGUCGUCGGUUCGAUCCCGACUGGCUCCACCACUGGGAUGAAGACACAUUGGGUCUGUAGCUCAGGUGGUUAGAGCGCACCCCUGAUAAGGGUGAGGCCGGUGGUUCGAGUCCUCCCAGACCCACCAUUCUCUGGAUGUCGAUUGCGCACACAUAUCAAGAUUUGAAGCGAACUGGCGCUGAAGCCGGUAUCGCGUUCUUUGAAAACCGGGACGUAGCGAGCGUUUGAGACGAAUGUCCAGACGUGUCGUAGAGGCUAAGGCGAGAUGUCGAGAGACAUCUUUAUUGAAGUUGUAGUCGUUGUGUUCGCGACGACAUUAACUCCGAGGCGACUUGGGGUUAUAUGGUCAAGCGAAUAAGCGCACACGGUGGAUGCCUUGGCGGUCAGAGGCGAUGAAGGACGUGGCAGCCUGCGAAAAGUGUCGGGGAGCUGGCAACAAGCUUUGAUCCGGCAAUGUCCGAAUGGGGAAACCCGG
rnacentral:misc_RNA from 1 species